rnacentral:rRNA from 1 species
CUACGGGGGGCAGCAGUUAGGAAUAAUCUACAAUGCGCGAAAGCGUGAUAGUUUGAGCCAGAGUGUUUUUCAAUUGAAAGACUUUUGUGAAAUGUAAAAAGUUUCACGAAUAAGGACUGGGUAAGACUAGUGCCAGCCGCCGCGGUAAUACUAGCGGUCCAAGUCGCAACCAUUUUUAUUGGGUCUAAAACAUCCGUAGCUUGCUUGACAAGUCUUCUGUGAAAUUUUACGUCUAAAACGUAGAGCGCGCAGAAGGUACUAUCAAGCUAGAGACCGGAAGACGUAAGAAGUACAUUCAGAGUAGCGGUUAAAUGUGUUAAUCCUGGAUGGACUAACAAGAGCGAAGGCAUCUUACGAGGACGGUUCUGACAGUAAGGGAUGAAAGCUAGGGGCGCAAAUGGGAUUAGAUACCCUAGUAGUC